AGAAGCACCAGUGGCUUUAACGACGUCAAGCAAAGCAGAAAUGGUAUUGGUGGAUCUCUUAGUAAGAAGAAAAGUACCAAGGCUUCUAAGAGAGGAAUCAAGAUGGGCUAAGCUUUGUUUGAGCCACCAUCGGGAAACUCUGCCAGGAUAAUAGUGACCCUCUUCCUCCGGAGCCCAGAUGAAGACGGCGACGACGGCGCCAGCCCUGACGGCGGCGGUAAGAGCUGGGUUAUCUUCAACCCUGAGAUCUCUUCUGAACCAAACUAUGCUGCAACCGCCACCUGACAUCUCACAAAAUAAAAACCACCAAUCCAAAACCCCAGAAAACACGUACCCUUUUU
rnacentral:misc_RNA from 1 species